AACGUGGCGGCUUCGGCCGCAGCGGGAGACCUCGCGCUGGCGGAGGAGCCUGCGUUGGAUUAGCUUGUUGCAGGGUAACGGCCUACCAAGGCGACGAUCCAUAGCUGGUCUGAGAGGACGAUCAGCCACACUGGGACUGAGACACGGCCCAGACGUCUACGGGACGGCAGCAGUAGGGAAUCUUGCACAAUGGGCGAAAGCCUGAUGCAGCCAUGCCGCGUGUGUGAAGAAGGCCUUCGGGUUGUAAAGCACUUUCAGUGGCGAAGAAAAAGCCGGCGCCAAUACCGCCGGCCCUUGACGUUAACCACAGAAGAAGCACCGGCCAACUCCGUGCCAGCAGCCGCGGUAACACGGAGGGUGCGAACGUUAAUCGGAAUUACUGGGCGUAAAGCGCGCGUAGGCGGUUUGUUAAGUGGGAUGUGAAAGCCCCGGGCUCAACCUGGGAAUUGCAUUCCAAACUGGCAAACUAGAGUUCAGUAGAGGGAGGUGGAAUUUCCUGUGUAGCGGGGAAAUGGGUAGAUAUAGGAAGGAACACCAGUGGCGAAGGCGGCCUCCUGGACUGAAACUGACGCUCAUGUGCGAAAGCGUGGGGAGCAAACAGGAUUAGAUACCCUGGUAGUC
rnacentral:rRNA from 1 species